CCCUUAGACACUCUAGGCGGCACGCGCGCUACAAUGGGUGGAAGAACGUGUUACUGCCUCCGAAAGGAGGGGUGAAUCACGAAUUCUUGCCCGUGAAUGGGAUAGUUUGUUGCAAUUUUCGGACUUGAACUAGGAAUCCCUUGUAAACAUGCUCAAGAAUAGCGUGUUGAAUACGUCCCUGCCGUUUGUACACACCGCCCGCCGUUUCUUCCGACUGAUACUCAUUGUGAGUUGCAAGGACCCUUUAUUGGGAAAUUGCUGCAAAUGCUUUGUAUUGGAGGAAGAAAAAGUCGUAACA
rnacentral:rRNA from 1 species